rnacentral:rRNA from 1 species
ACGGGAGGCAGCAGUGGGGAAUAUUGGGCAAUGGGCGAAAGCCUGACCCAGCAACGCCGCGUGAAGGAAGAAGGUCUUCGGAUUGUAAACUUCUUUUAUGAGGGACGAAGGACGUGACGGUACCUCAUGAAUAAGCCACGGCUAACUACGUGCCAGCAGCCGCGGUAAUACGUGGGUGGCAAGCGUUAUCCGGAUUUACUGGGUGUAAAGGGCGCGUAGGCGGGAAGGCAAGUCAGAUGUGAAAUCCAUGGGCUCAACCCAUGAACUGCAUUUGAAACUGUUUUUCUUGAGUGCUGGAGAGGUAGACGGAAUUCCUUGUGUAGCGGUGGAAUGCGUAGAUAUAAGGAAGAACACCAGUGGCGAAGGCGGACUACUGGACAGUAACUGACGCUGAGGCGCGAAAGCGUGGGGAGCAAACAGGAUUAGAUACCCUGGUA